AGAGUUUGAUCCUGGCUCAGGAUGAACGCUGGCGGCGUGCCUAACACAUGCAAGUCGAGCGAGAAGGUUAUGAAAGAUUCUUCGGAAGAUGGAAUAACUAGAAAGCGGCGGACGGGUGAGUAACGCGUGGGUAACCUACCUUAUACACAGGGAUAGCCAUUGGAAACGAUGAUUAAUACCUGAUAAUACUGAUUUACCACAUGGUGAAUCGGUCAAAGAUUUAUCGGUAUAAGAUGGACCCGCGUCUGAUUAGUUAGUUGGUGAGGUAACGGCUCACCAAGACUACGAUCAGUAGCCGACCUGAGAGGGUGAUCGGCCACACUGGAACUGAGACACGGUCCAGACUCCUACGGGAGGCAGCAGUGGGGAAUAUUGCACAAUGGAGGAAACUCUGAUGCAGCAACGCCGCGUGGAGGAUGACACAUUUCGGUGCGUAAACUCCUUUUAUUAGGGAAGAUAAUGACGGUACCUAAUGAAUAAGCACCGGCUAACUCCGUGCCAGCAGCCGCGGUAAUACGGAGGGUGCAAGCGUUA
rnacentral:rRNA from 1 species